UACGGGGGGAGCAAGCGUUGUUCGGAUUUACUGGGCGUAAAGGGCGCGUAGGCGGUCGCGUGUGUCAGGUGUGAAAUCUCGGGGCUUAACUCCGAAACUGCGCCUGAAACUACGUGACUAGAGCAUUGGAGAGGGUAGCGGAAUUCACGGUGUAGCAGUGAAAUGCGUAGAUAUCGUGAGGAACACCAGAGGCGAAGGCGGCUACCUGGACAAUUGCUGACGCUCAGGCACGAAAGCGUGGGGAGCAAAAGGG
rnacentral:rRNA from 1 species